AUGCGAAUGAUGGAAAACGAUUCUGGCUGAGAACCGUGAUGUUGUCAAAGGAACCACUGAUGCAC